GCCCGAUUAGCUCAGCUGGUUAGAGCGUCGUACCAAUACUCCUGGAAUAAUAAGUAAAUGCGAAGGUCAACAGCCCAAUCCUGUUAUUGGGCA